rnacentral:rRNA from 1 species
CCUACGGGAGGCAGCAGUGGGGGAUAUUGCACAAUGGGGGAAACCCUGAUGCAGCGACGCCGCGUGUGGGAAGACGGUCCUCUGGAUUGUAAACCACUGUCCCCAGGGACGAAGAUGACGGUACCUGGGGAGGAAGCUCCGGCUAACUACGUGCCAGCAGCCGCGGUAAUACGUAGGGAGCGAGCGUUGUCCGGAAGUACUGGGUGUAAAGGGAGCGUAGGCGGGACUGCAAGUUGGGGGUAAAAUCUACCGGCUCAACCGGUAGCCGCACUCAAAACUGCAGUUCUUGAGUGAAGUUGAGGCAGGCGGAAUUCCUAGUGUAGCGGUGAAAUGCGUAGAUAUUAGGAGGAACACCAGUGGCGAAGGCGGCCUGCUGGGCUUUUACUGACGCUGAGGCUCGAAAGUGUGGGGAGCGAACAGGAUUAGAUACCCCAGUAGUC